rnacentral:misc_RNA from 1 species
GCAGUCAACCUGCCUCCUGCAGAGCAAUAUGAUUUUUCAGGUAGAUAUGGACAAACACCAAGGCCUAUUAGACAAAAUAUUGUAAUGAAGAGAGGCGACUGGAUAUGUCAAAAGUGCAAUUUCAUGAACUUUGCAAGAAACAACAAAUGCCUUGAAUGUGAGGAACCUAGACCAAGGAGACAGCUGACAGGCGGGGAGUGGGAAUGCCCUCAAUGUUAUUUCUUCAACUAUGGGAGAAAUGUUGUCUGUCUGAGAUGCGACUUCGGACGACCAGCUGGGGCUUCACCUAGAACUACCCACUCCAGUGCGGAGGAUGGGUAUAAUGGGAACUCUGCGUAUUCAAAU